GAACAAGUUCGACGAUAAAAGUUUCUGCAAAGGCGCACGAGGACAUUAUGGAGCAUAUUGCCGUUGACUGUGGGUGAACGAUAAGUUCCUUUAUUUGAAAUUGCUACUAAAUGAGUUCGAUGAUGACAAACAAAUCUCCAAAUGGUUCAUCAAGGAAUAAAUUUUGAGCGACUUUAUCGAGCUGAAUGUGAAGUUCAACCUGAACCGGAACGCGAUCGACGAGGAGGUGUUCGCGACCAAACUGUUCGAUCUGUACUCGGUGGUCAAGAUGUUCCGCUGCCCAACGCCGAAGCUUCGGCUCUGUCAGAGCGGAAUCAACCAGCUGUUGGCAUAUCUGAUUCGGUCAUUCUUCACCCAGGAUCCGUGUAUUAACAGCUGUGCGUUGAUGCGAAAUGCCCUCGAGAAGCCGUUUCUGCCCAAGAGGUACGUGCUCGAGGAAUUGCGGCAUAUGCUGAGAGCGUUUCUGGACGAGAAUCUGCGGAAGCAGCAG